UACAGAGGUCUCAAGCGUUGUUCGGAUUCAUUGGGCGUAAAGGGUGCGUAGGCGGCGCGGUAAGUCGGGGUGUGAAAUCUUGGAGCUUAACUCCGAAACUGCAUUCGAUACUGCCGUGCUUGAGGACUGGAGAGGAGACUGGAAUUUACGGUGUAGCGGUGAAAUGCGUAGAUAUCGGAAGGAACAUCAGUGGCGAAAAGCGGCUUCCUGGUCCAGCACCGACGUCAGGCACGAAAGCGUGGGGAGCAAACAGG
rnacentral:rRNA from 1 species